UACAGAGGGGGCAAGCGUUGUUCGGAAUUACUGGGCGUAAAGGGCGCGUAGGCGGCCCGCUAAGUCGAACGUGAAAUCCCCGAGCUCAACUCGGGAACUGCGUCCGAUACUGGCGGGCUUGAAUCCGGGAGAGGGAAGCGGAAUUCCGGGUGUAGCGGUGAAAUGCGUAGAUAUCCGGAGGAACACCGGUGGCGAAGGCGGCUUCCUGGACCGACACUGACGCUGAGGCGCGAAAGCUAGGGGAGCAAACGGG
rnacentral:rRNA from 1 species